rnacentral:tRNA from 1 species
AGGGACUUGAUUCAGUUGGUAGACUGCUUGCCUAGCAUGCAAGAAGCCCUGAGUUCAAUCCCCACCAUCACUG